rnacentral:rRNA from 1 species
UAAGACGAACCGUGCGAACGUUGUUCGGAAUCACUGGGCUUAAAGGGCGCGUAGGCGGGGCGGCAAGUCCGGGGUGAAAGCCCCCAGCUCAACUGGGGAAGAGCCUUGGAAACUGCCGGUCUCGAGGGAGGUAGGGGUCUGUGGAACUUCGGGUGGAGCGGUGAAAUGCGUUGAUAUCCGAAGGAACGCCGGUGGCGAAAGCGACGGACUGGACCUCUUCUGACGCUGAGGCGCGAAAGCCAGGGGAGCAAACGGGAUUAGAUACCCCGGUAGUCCUGGCCCUAAACGAUGGGAACUAGGUAGCGGACUAUACAUGGGUUCGCUGCCGAAGCAAAAGUGGUAAGUUCCCCGCCUGGGGAGUAUGGUCGCAAGGCUG